rnacentral:rRNA from 1 species
UACGUAGGGUGCGAGCGUUGCCGGAAUUAUUGGGCGUAAAGGGCUCGUAGGCGGUUUGUCGCGUCGGGGAGUGAAAACACCGGGCUUAACUCGGUGCCUUGCUUUCGAUACGGGGCAGACUAGAGGCAUGCAGGGGAGAACGGAAUUCCUGGUGUAGCGGGUGGAAUGCGCAGAUAUCCAGGAGGAACACCGGUGGCGAAGGCGGGUCUCCUGGGCCGAUACUGACGUGAGGAGCGAAAGCGUGGGGAGCGAACAGG